GUGGUUCAAGUAGCACAGAUACUAAAAUUGAAGCAAUAUAGAGAUUAUAUAGAGAAGUAUGGCCCUGCACAUGAAUAACACACAAAUUCGUGAAGCAUUUCAUAUUCUU